ensembl:lincRNA 4933408A14Rik RIKEN cDNA 4933408A14 gene
UAGGGGACAUCUGUGUGCACUGUCUGAGCUAGCUGUGUCUGCUUCCUGGGGGAGAGACAGGAUCUCUUUGGAUUGUCAAAGGGAAGCAGAGAAGCCAGCAUAUUAGCAAAGGGAAGAGGGAGUUAGGGGUGGUUGUGGGGUCUGAAAAGAAAGGUGAGGUAGGGGGCAGUUAGGAGACUGGGGCAGUAAUUCAGGAAGAGGUGACAGUGACUCUAACAAGGGUUGGGGACGCGGAGAGUGUUUUCUCACAUACUUAGAACUGGAAUAAAUAAGAUUUAUAACAAAGUACUUCCUGCCAAAACCAGACUGCCAUCCCGACGUGCAGGAAAGAUGAUUCAGAAGAUAACAGCGCUGCCUGGGCCUGAGAACCAGAACCCACGUAAAAAUGGUAUACAACUAUAACCCCAGCCUUCCCGCUGAUGGGUUUCUGGGGCUUGCUGACUAGCCAGGCUUGGGUUCAGUGACAGGCCCCAUCGAGGAAGUAAAGAGUGAUAGAGCAGAAUACUCAGCGCCCCCUUCUGGCUUCCACAGGCACACCCGCAUGUGCACCUGCAUACACACGUGUGCAUUCGUGUGCAAACAAAGAAAACUCAUGAAUCUCAAAGGAACAUUCUCAAGGCUUUUUUUAAGUGAAGAUAUAAAGCAUAAAGUGGAAAAUAACAACAGCUAUUAUCAUUUUGAAUGCUUUUAAUAUAAAUUAAACAAUUUUUUAUAAAGUGCUUAGGGUUA